AAUUUCGAUAGUCCGAGACUUUCUAUAUGUGUUUUUAGAUGAGCUACCCGAACUACCAGUGGAUAUGGAAGUUGAAUUCAGCAUAGACCUCUAGCCAGGCACCCAACCUAUUUCAGUUGCUCCUUACUGUAUGAGCCGUGUUGAGAUGGAGGAACUAAGGAAAUAGAUCACUAAAUUGUAGGACAGUGGUUUUAUCUGACAUAGUGUGUCCCCUUGGGGUGCUG
rnacentral:lncRNA from 1 species